rnacentral:lncRNA from 1 species
AUGACAGCUGUUCGGCAAGUAUAGAAAGCGCUGAGUCUAAAACUGGGACAGGGAGGAACAGGGCUGUGGGGAGAGAGGCUGAAAGAAAAGAAGAUGAUAAAAUAGAUGGUAUUUUACAGAAAGAAUUCUAG